rnacentral:rRNA from 1 species
UAGCGUAGGGGGCAAGCGUUGUCCGGAAUCAUUGGGCGUAAAGAGCGUGUAGGCGGCCAGAUAAGUCCGCUGUGAAAUCUCGAGGCUCAACUUCGAGCUGUCGGUGGAAACUGUCUGGCUAGAGUCCGGAAGAGGAGAAUGGAAUUCCUGGUGUAGCGGUGAAAUGCGCAGAUAUCAGGAAGAACACCUAUGGCGAAGGCAGCUCUCUGGGACGGUACUGACGCUGAGACGCGAAAGCGUGGGGAGCGAACAGG